rnacentral:tRNA from 1 species
UAGACAGAAGCCCGUUGGUUUAGGCAUAUAGCUGUUAACUAUAGUUUUAUGGGAUCGAAGCCCAUCUGUCUAG